GAAAGAGCUGCUGUUAAGAUCCCAGUUGUCUCUGAAAAUGAAGGCGGGAAUGGUACUCUUCCAGGUGGAUCAGCUUUGAAUGCAGCAGGUGAGACACCCAGUGAAGCAUCUAGUCCACGCAAUAUCUGAAGUAGUUUCUUCCAAUUCCUUGCCGCAUGAAGAAUGAGAAGCAUCAAUACUUGAGGUAUUGCUUGUAGGAUCUUCUCAAAUUACACAAAUAAUAGUAGCUAAACAAAGUAUGAGCCCGUCUGUCUUAAUUCCGCCUUUUUCCCGUAGAUAAUGAGUUUAGUAUCUGUUUACUCAUACAUUCAUGUUCUUUGUAGAAUUCAAAUUUGGUUUUUUAUUGAUAGCAACAACAUUAAAUUUAAUAAUUUCUUGAUUAUAUCUUAUUCCAAAUUUGUACCUUUCAUUUGAUUGAUUUGUCCAGAAAUUGUUGAUCGAUCAUGACUUCAAAACUCCUGAAUUCGUACUCUCCCUUUGAACUUCU
rnacentral:lncRNA from 1 species